CUUACGGGAGGCAGCAGUGGGGGAUAUUGCACAAUGGAGGAAACUCUGAUGCCGCGACGCCGCGUGAGGGAAGACGGUCUUCGGAUUUUAAACCUCUGUCUUUUGGGAAGAAAAUGACGGUACCCAAAGAGGAAGCUCCGGCUAACUAAGUGCCAGCAUCCGCGGUAAUACGUAGGGAGCGAGCGUUGUCCGGAAUUACUGGGUGUAAAGGGAGCGUAGGCGGGAGAGAAAGUUGAAUGUUAAAUCUACCGGCUUAACCUGUAGCUGCGUUAAAACCUGGUUUUCUUGAGUGAAGUAGAGGCAGGCGGAAUGCCUAGGGUAGCGGUGAAAUGCGUAGAUAUUAGGAGGAACACCAGUGGCGAAGGCGGCCUGCUGGGCUUUAACUGACGCUGAUGCUCGAAAGCGUGGGGAGCAAACAGGAUUAGAUACCCCAGUAGUC
rnacentral:rRNA from 1 species